CCUACGGGAGGCAGCAGUUGGGAAUUUUGCACAAUGGAGGCAACUCUGAUGCAGCAACACCGCGUGAGUGAUGAAGGUUUUCGGAUUGUAAACUUCUUUACGAGGGAAUAA
rnacentral:rRNA from 1 species